rnacentral:rRNA from 1 species
GAGUUUGAUCAUGGCUCAGAUUGAACGCUGGCGGCAUGCUUUACACAUGCAAGUCGAACGGUAACGCGGGCUUCGGCCUGGCGACGAGUGGCGAACGGGUGAGUAGAACAUCGGAACGUAUCCUGGAGUGGGGGAUAGCCCUGCGAAAGCCGGAUUAAUACCGCAUGAGCUCUGAGGAGGAAAGCGGGGGUCGAAAGGACCUCGCGCUGUUGGAGCGGCCGAUGCCGGAUUAGCUUGUUGGUGAGGUAAAGGCUCACCAAGGCCGCGAUCCGUAGCUGGUCUGAGAGGAUGAUCAGCCACACUGGAACUGAGACACGGUCCAGACUCCUACGGGAGGCAGCAGUGGGGAAUUUUGGACAAUGGGGGCAACCCUGAUCCAGCCAUGCCGCGUGCGGGAAGAAGGCCUUCGGGUUGUAAAGCUCUUUCGCAAGAGAAGAAAUCUUACUAUCGAAUAAAUAGUAAGGAUGACGGUAUCCUGACAAGAAGCACCGGCUAACUACGUGCCAGCAGCCGCGGUAAUACGUAGGGUGCGAGCGUUAAUCGGAAUUACUGGGCGUAAAGCGUGCGCAGGCGGUUUUAUAAGUCAGAUGUGAAAUCCCCGAGCUCAACUUGGGAACUGCGUUUGAAACUGUAAGACUAGAGUGUGUCAGAGGGGGGUAAGAUUCCAAGUGUAGCAGUGAAAUGCGUAGAGAUUGAGGGAAUACCAAUGGCGAAGGCAGCCCCCUGGGAUAACACUGACGCUCAUGCACGAAAGCGUGGGGAGCAAACAGGAUUAGAUACCCUGGUAGUCCACGCCCUAAACGAUGUCUACUAGUUGUUGGUGGAGUAAAAUCCAUGAGUAACGCAGCUAACGCGUGAAGUAGACCGCCUGGGGAGUAUGGUCGUAAGAUUAAAACUCAAAUGAAUUGACGGGGGCCCGCACAAGCGGUGGAGCAUGUGGUUUAAUUCGAUGCAACGCGAAGAACCUUACCAGGUCUUGACAUCCUGCGAACUUACUAGAGAUAGAUUGGUGCCUUCGGGAGCGCAGUGACAGGUGCUGUAUGGCUGUCGUCAGCUCGUGUUGUGAAAUGUUGGGUUAAGUCCUGUAAUGAGCGUAACCCUUGUCCUUAUUUGCCAGCAUGUAAUGGUGGGAAUUUUAAGGAGACUGCCGGUGAUAAACCGGAGGAAGGUGGGGAUGACGUCAAGUCAUCAUGGCCCUUACGACCAGGGCUACACACGUGCUACAAUGGCCGGUACAGAGGGUUGCCAAACCGCGAGGUGGAGCUAAUCCCAGAAAGCCGGUCGUAGUUCGGAUUGGAGUCUGCAACUCGACUCCAUGAAGCCGGAAUCGCUAGUAAUCGCGAAUCAGAAUGUCGCGGUGAAUACGUUCCCGGGCCUUGUACACACCGCCUGUCACACCAUGGGAGUGGAUUGCACCAGAAGUAGGUUGCCUAACCUUCGGGAGGGCGCUUACCACGGUGUGCUUCAUGACUGGGGUGAAGUCGUAACAAGGUAGCC